rnacentral:rRNA from 1 species
GACAGAGGGUGCGAACGUUGUUCGGAAUUACUGGGCGUAAAGCGCAUGUAGGCGGCAGCGCAAGUCGGGCGUGAAAUCCCACGGCUCAACCGUGGAAGUGCACUCGAAACUGCGCAGCUAGAGUCCUGGAGAGGAAGGUGGAAUGCUUGGUGUAGAGGUGAAAUUCGUAGGUAUCAAGCGGAACACCGGUGGCGAAGGCGGCCUUCUGGACAGUGACUGACGCUGAGAUGCGAAAGCGUGGGGAGCAAACAGG